rnacentral:lncRNA from 1 species
UUUCUUACUUCCGGCAUCUUCAAGCUGCAAUCUGGGAGCAUUUUCCUUCUAUCUAUUAAAGAACAUCCUUUAGUGUUGGUGCACUGGUGACAAAUUCUUUCAGUAUUUUUAUAUGAAAAUACCAUCGUUUCACCUUAAUUUCUGAAGGAUUCUUAAUUUCACUGGAUAUUGAAUCCCAGAUAUUACACCUGCCUAUUGUCCCAGUCCUCUUUCUGGGACUUCAAAUGCGUCUUAAAAUACAAUUUUUGUCCCAUAAAGGCCAUGAAUCUGUUGAAAACUAUGCUCACUUUCAUAUCCUCUCUGUUGUACAUUCUGAUUUGGUAUCUGCAGCUAGAGGAAAAGAAGCUCAAUAUCAACUCAUCAUUCUGGAUUUGCUUCAUCUCCCAGAUCUUGGCAAUGCAAUUCUUCACUACUUUGUUAACCCUCCAAUAUCUUCAAAC